rnacentral:rRNA from 1 species
GACGAACGCUGGCGGCGUGCCUAAUACAUGCAAGUUGAGCGAUGAAGAUUGGUGCUUGCACCAAUUUGAAGAGCAGCGAACGGGUGAGUAACGCGUGGGGAAUCUGCCUUUGAGCGGGGGACAACAUUUGGAAACGAAUGCUAAUACCGCAUAACAACUUUAAACAUAAGUUUUAAGUUUGAAAGAUGCAAUUGCAUCACUCAAAGAUGAUCCCGCGUUGUAUUAGCUAGUUGGUGAGGUAAAGGCUCACCAAGGCGAUGAUACAUAGCCGACCUGAGAGGGUGGUCCGCCACAAUGGGACUGAGAAACGGGCCAAAACCCUACGGGAGGCAGCAGUAGGGAAACUUCGGCAAUGGACGAAAGUCUGACCGAGCAACGCCGCGGGAGUGAAGAAGGUUUUCGGAUCGUAAAACUCUGUUGGUAGAGAAGAACGUUGGUGAGAGUGGAAAGCUCAUCAAGUGACGGUAACUAACCAGAAAGGGACGGCUAACUACGUG